rnacentral:rRNA from 1 species
UGGGGAAUUUUGGACAAUGGGCGAAAGCCUGAUCCAGCAAUGCCGCGUGUGUGAAGAAGGCCUUCGGGUUGUAAAGCACUUUUGUCCGGAAAGAAAUCCUUGGCUCUAAUACAGUCGGGGGAUGACGGUACCGGAAGAAUAAGCACCGGCUAACUACGUGCCAGCAGCCGCGGUAAUACGUAGGGUGCAAGCGUUAAUCGGAAUUACUGGGCGUAAAGCGUGCGCAGGCGGUUUGCUAAGACCGAUGUGAAAUCCCGGGCUCAACCUGGGAACUGCAUUGGUGACUGGCAGGCUAGAGUAUGGCAGAGGGGGGUAGAAUUCCACGUGUGAGCAGUGAAAGUGCGUAGAGAUGUGGAGGAAUA